CCACACCCGCCUGACGACUGCUCGCUACGUUUUGUUAG
rnacentral:sRNA from 1 species